GCUCGGCGAACAGAACCACAACAAUGCCUGUCUAUGCCGACCCUCUGUUUCCUUACUUGUAGCCAACUUCUAAUCCUUGCUGUCAACGAUCCAUCAAUCCCAAACAUUUUGGAUUUGCUGCCCAACCUGCCAUGUGGCGCUGUAUCAAAUGUUUUCUGAAGUUCAAAUAUACAACAUCCACAGCACUACCUUCAUCCACGUUCUGUGUCACUUCAUCAAAGGACUCAAUUAAAUUUGUCAAACAUGACCUACCAUGACAAAGUCAUGUUAACUAUCUAGUAUUAAUUUAUUUUUCUUCAAACCUUUCGCUGCAUGGAUCCCAAGCUAUGGAAUUCCCUCCACAUCCAGCCUCAGCAGAGACUUUGCGGUAGAGAUUUCCUGAUUUCUAUUCUAUUCCAAUGGGUGGAGAGCAGAGCAACGAACACAAAGAAGCUGCCGACCCAAGCCAGGGAACACGGGGUAGAGAAAUGGAGAUGACUACACCAGAGCCAGCUGCUCCCCUCCGUUCACAAGGCCAAACCGAGCCUGGUAACAUUCCCCAAAUACCCCUUGGGGGCAAGAUGGUGGAUGACAUACGUUUCAUGAUAACUUGCACGAACUGGUACUGAGCCUUGGGAUGCAGCAGGAAUCAAGUUGAGGGUGAGCGAGGAGGUGAUAGAGUGCAACCUGUGAGUGUCAGCAGUGGAUUGGGUUUGGAUACCAUCAUGUCACAGCAUUGAUACCUUGUACCAAUCUGUUCAUAAUGAGGAGACUUCACAGGUGACUCCUGGAGGACAAGUGGAGCCCCAGUGUCAUUUUCAACAACAACAUUGCUUAUAACAGACAACUGUCUAUACUCUAAUAGCACUACAUCAUUCAUAAAUAAAUGAAAUGGCAGUUUGCUGAUGGUUUGAUUAUAUUUGGAUGGAAUGAUCUGUUCUUUGCCUGUGAACACAGAUCCUCAUCCAUCAAGGAUUUAGACCAUAAGGUAUAGAAACAUCAAACCUGCUGUUCUAUUUGUCAUCACUGAUAGGUUUAUUAACCCCAUUCUCCUAUCUUCUCCCCAUAACCUUUGAUCCCCUUCAAAAUGAACCAGAGAUUUGAACACAAGGGGAAACGGAGGCUGUUCAGGCCCUCGAACAUCUUCUAUCAUUCAGAUAAAUCAUGGUGGAUGUCUUGUAACUCCAUUCACCCAACUUGAUUCUGUAACCCUUAGUCCCCCUUAAUCAACAAUCUCUCAAUCUCAGGUUUGAAAUGGACACUUGGUCUCAGUUGCUUAUUGAGAAAUAGAGACUCCAAUUCCACUUUGGGGACUUUUGAAAGGCCUGGCUCUGAUUUUAAGGUUAUAGCUUUCUGCUCUGGAUUUUCCCCACACUCUUCAUCUCCUCCACAAUCCCCAUCAUGUUCACAGUGCUUCCAAUCUUUGUGUCAGCUGAACUUGGUAAGUGAGCCCUGGUAAGCAGAAGGUAUAAAACCAACUCUUUGGGAACUCCAUUUCAAACCAUCCUCCAGCCCAAAACUACAUUUACCAUUACUCUUGUUUCUGUCACUGAGUCAAUUACUGUCUCUUUGAUUCCAUGUUUGUUGUGCAGUAUUUUAUCAAAUGCCUUGAGGAGGUCUGUGUGCAAUAGUACCCAACAGUAUUACCCUGAUCAAUCCACUCUGCUACCUUUUCAAAAAACACACAACUCCCCAGUUAUUAAAGCACAGUUUGGUCUCAACAAUUCCAUGCUAUUUCCCUCAAUUAACCUGCAUUCAUCCCAAGUAACUAUAAAAUUUUGUCCCCCAAUUAUUAUUUUGAGAAAUUUACAUAGUCCUGAAAUAAAACUAAUUUCCCCGUG